UCACUGGAGGCAGCGGUUCAUCGAUCUCUUCCUGGAGGAUUUUGUUGUGGAAUUAACACAAACACAUGAAUCGAUCGAUAAACCUCUGCAUCCAGCGCUU
rnacentral:pre_miRNA from 1 species